UUGAUAACAGGGUGUUCCCAGAAAGUAAAUAAAUGCAGGUAGCAGAUACUGAGGGAAUAACCACAAGUAAUAGCAGCAAUAAGAGGUAAUCAAAAGGCAACUAGAUGUAGUAAAAAGGAGUCAUACAGCAGCAAAUAGAGCUUAGUACGAUACAGUAAACAAACACGGCAAUACUAUGGGAGUGAAAAUCCUCACGAUGGAUUACAAUUUAAGCAUGCUAUAGCAACUAAUCAAGAGCAGCUGGGAGGGCAUGUAGCCAGGACGGCUGACCACAGCGUGCGGUGUGCUCAGCAGUAAAUGCUGGGGUAAAGACAGAGAUGGGGCGGAGGGGAACUGGACUCCUUUUUUUUACUUUGCUUGCGCGUGCUGCUUUUGCUGUACCUUUUAAGCUGUCUUGACCUCAACACGUGACUUUUCUUGCUUCUGCCUUUCUGAUUCUCUUCCCCCACCCUGCUCUUGAAGGGGAAGUGAGCAAGGGUCUGCCUGGGACUCAGGGCCAUCUGUGGGGGCUAACCCACAACCUUUUGAUAAAUGCUCAUAUUUUCUGUUACUUCAUAAUUUUGAAAAUGUUUUAAUGAAACCAUGCUUAGGAGUACGCUUUAAAGUCUCAGAGAUGUUUGUGCUGUGAGGAAAAAAGUCGCACCGAGUUCUUAAACACCUUCAGAAAGGACCGUGACUUUCCUAGAGUCAGCUCAGGUGGCAGUCACCGGCAAAACAGAGCACACUGGCAGCUUGGCCCUUGGAUGCAAAGUGCAAGGUGUUUCCUAAGUGUAUACUCCUUUCUGAGGGGUGUUUUAUUGUGUGCUGUCUAGCAUCAGUUUUAUCAAUUUGCCUCUAAUGGGUUUUGGUAUUCCCAAAAGGACUGGGAUUAAAGAAUGGGUGUGUGCCUCAGCACUGCAUAAUUUUAUUUUGCAGCCAAAAUUUCUUGUUUUGUGGUUAAGUUUUCUGGUAGCUUGUAUUUUGCAGAAAGCACUUAAAAAUGUAUUUAGGUUGCUUCCAAACAAGUAAAGAGAAAGUCCUUUUACCUUCAGGGUAGGGCUAAUUUUCCCUUAGGCCAAAAAACAUAGGAAGAUACCACCUGCUACAACCUUUGGUAAGAGAGGACCAAGCAUACCCGGACCUUCUUAAACAAACAAACCAAAAAAACACCACUUAAAAAAAAGGCAACAAAGAGGCAACUUCUGCCCGAAGUGGUGUAAACGCAUAAAGCUGUCAGUGGUUUUUUUUUGUUGUUUUUUUGUUUUUUUUUUUUUAGCUCGCACAUUAGCGCUGCUCCGGGAAGCCGUGCCUGUCGCUCUGCUUCUGCGGAUGCGCGGAGCCGGCCGGCUCGCCUCAAGAGGGGGAGCCGGGCGGCGCCGCAGGACCCUUGCCCGCGGCAGAAUGGCGGCGGCAUUCUCCGGAGCAGGAGCCGCGCCGGGCCGGGCUCGGGUCGGGCCGGGCCGGGAAGCGCGGUCCGCGGCUUCUGCGGAAAUGGCCCUUGUGCGGGGCAGAGGCGGCGCCGCGCCGGAGCUGGUCCGGACCGGGCGUUCGGGGGCGGUCUUCACUGCGCGGGGCUUCGGGCGGCUGGGGGAGAGGGGGGCGGAGCGGCGGGAGGUGGUGGCGGGGCGGGGAAGAGCGGCGGAGUCCUCUCUGGGUUGGAUGGACUGCUCCGUCCCGGGGCAUGCUGGGAGCUGUAGUUCUGUGGUGCCGGGCGGCCAUGUGGGCUCCGGGGUGCGUGGCCGGUCUUUCCCCGAGCCGGGGCCGGGCCGUGCGCGCCGGGAGGCGCAGGUUGCCGCUGGCUGCGAGCGCGGUUGUCGGCGGUGAGGCGAGCGAGAGCCUUCGGGGGUGCCUCCCCGGAGCGUCGGGCCGGGAGGGGUGGGGGGUGCGGCGGCCGGGCGCGGGUCCUUGCUGCACUUGAUCGUUGGGCUGCGCCUCGGAGGUUUUCCUUCUUGGAGCUGGUAAGCGCAAAGGAAAGCCGCGUAGUGCCUGCCAAGCUGUAGUAGCUUCCUAGAACUAAAAUGAAUUGGCCUGUCAAACUCUGUCUCUUUGUUGCUCAGUCUUUGGUACGAGAGGCUAAGUUUUGUCCCACCUCAGCUUUCAGAGUUGUCCUAGAAAUAAACCGGUGCUUGCAGGGCUUUCCAGAACGCUGGUUGUGGUCGGUCAAGAAAGACGUGAGAGGCAAUUUCUUUCUGUUUGUCUGUCUAUUGAUUAUGUCCCAAGAGUUUUGCUUGAACUGUGUGCAAUAAAAGAGGCCUCGGGCCCGUACUGAGCAGCAAGAGAAAGCAAAACUCCGGGUAAGCACUGGCCGUGGCAAAGUUGCUUGGGAAUUGAGCGGCUGGGGGUCUUUCCAGCGGAACUCGGUACGCAGACAGAAACGUGACCUUCGAGGUCCCUGUCUGUCUUGCGUUGAAGCUGUGGUAUUUGACCCAUAACUGUAUGGAGUUGCUAAAUCCUAGAGGGGAUGAUAGAGACGUCCCUGUUUCAGCCUUUUUUGCCACAGUCCUUGCAGAAAUUUUGGAAAAAAGACUUACUUCAGCGUCAAAUAAACCCCGUGCGAAGCGUCCCCGACUCAUGCCAGUGGGACCAUCCUGUUGUGGCUGGUAAAAUCCAGGAACAGGAUGAUGCUUGGAAGAACGUAACCUAUGGAGGAGCAGGCAACAGGUUUUCGAGACUGGUUUCCCUACCCCCCUGUGCAUUUUGAAGGAGGCAGUCCCUAAGCUGAUGCAAUCCAACUGCAUCUAAGCUGUAGGUUGUUACUUCCAUAAGCUGUAAAGGAACUUAAUGUGUUUUUUUUUCGUUGUUUUUUUUUUUGUUUUGUUUUGUUUUAAAUCGAGGCUUGUGUGUGUGUGUUUGGCUUGUCCCGAUGGCUGGUGUAGAUGAUCACUCACGUGCCCUUGUGCUGAUGUUGGAUCUGCCCCUCGGUAAAGGACCGCAUCCUGUGUGUUCAGCUUUUCUUCCUUACCGUGUCGUAUGUAUGUAUUUAUUUAUUUACUUUUCUGAAAGAAAGGGUGGAUUUUUCAUGGGUCUCUCUGUGAGCGUAUCGAACCAGGCCGCAGUAAAUAUGCAUAAGCGAGUAGGCUGCAGCGCGUACUGGACAGUAUCAGAGUGCUACUCUGCUAGCAGUGGAGAGCCAGGUGAAGGUGUCCAGGGUAAGGGCCUGUUCUGUCUCAAGUUGAACGGAAAGUUUCUGAAGGUGAGCAUUCCGGGGGAUGUUUGUAGGACUGUUGUUAGACGAUAAAAGUUCAGAUGGCGGUCGACGAAGGGGAUUUUGUUGGCUCUUUUAGAUAGCUAUUCCUACCGAAGGUCGCAUCGGUUACAAAAGGUAGUAGUAACCUUGCAGUCUCUACGUUCUGUAGCGUCUGUAGCAAAAUAAACUGGCAGAUGAAUAAAUGAGCAGGUACAAAUACAUGUGGCUCUAUAGCUGAGAUUAAAUAAUGUGCAGUUUCUUCUGUGUUUUGUCUUUCAAAGCACGUUGUUGCCGAGCGCCUGAGCUUUUUGCAUGCGUUACUGAGGAAAGGAAUGGCUGCGCUUCUUCCCCCCUUAUCCCUCUCUUUUUUUUUUUCUCUCCUCUUCUCCCUUGAUGACAGGGACUCGAAAUGUUUUCCUCAGAUGUCCACGUGAAAAUUUAAAAAAAAAAAAAAAAAAAAAAAAGGUGACGGUGAACACUGACAGAAUUGGGUGACUUUUUCAAGGUAGAAGGCAAGGA